UCCUAAUAAUAUCUCCUCUACUUCCAAUACCACCGAUUCGACGUUUUGGAUUAAUUCUCAUUAAAAGUUUCAUAAAUUCUCAACUAACAGAACAAAAAAGAAAAAAAAACAAGUAACACCCAUUAAUCAAUCUACUAUACACCUUCCUCUGCAUCACUCCCGUGGCCUAUCCCUCGACUAACAACCGCAUCCAGCUUCGGCAUGAUCAAACAACCAUAGAACCUGCAUUCUGCUAAGCAUCUCCUUCUUCUAUCACCUUUGAUCUCGACGAUGCUGUAUCUGUAAAACAUUAAACGGGGCACAGUUACAAAUCUGAAUGCAUAAUGAGUUCAAGUUUGUGUGCGACAGUAAAUAAUGAGUCACGUAUGCAUAGGUUAUAAAUCAAUUCUUUUUUAGCUUUCAAUCUCGUGUAGUUCAUUAGUUUUUGUUUCUUCCUGUUGGUUAGGUAUGUUAAUACAUUGAGGAACAUACAACAAUCAUACAACCAGUAUUAUGUCUUUGGCCUUUUCACAAUAGAUGAUGAUAUCGAAUUCCCACCUCAUAUCGUGUGUCUAUUCAACUGGUACACUACCACGGAUAUUUAUUUAAUAGACACUCAAGACAAUUACCUCCAUAUGACGCCCAGGAGAGACGGUGACAGGUUCUGGAUUAAGGCAGCUGACUUAGGGAGGAUAUGAUGCAUGUAUAGAUGAUCUUCUUUGCUUAGUGUGGAACUGAGGUAUGUUGCUUAGGGUGUCUUCUACAUGAUUAUGAGGGACAUUAAUCGAAAAGAGGAACCUCCAUGUGUCGUUGACGAACUCUAUGCCUCCAAGGUGUUGCCCGAACAUAUCAUACGUAGCCUAGCGUCGCGGUGCGGAGCAUACUUCAACAAAGAAGCCCAACUAAGAGUAUUCCAAUUGUUAUGCCUAAAUUUUUGAACUUUACUACAGUGUGAAAUAGCGGCAACAAGGUGGGGGCUGACGCAGGUCCUAGUAAGCGGCAGCGACCCACUACCUCCCCUGACUCGUCCGUCAACCAGGGAUCAUCCUAGCAGACACCUUCAGAUCUUUAAAAGUUCCUACGUAAUGUAAUUAUGGUUUAAUGUUUUUAUGAAUGUAUUUUAUUUAGUUUAUGAUGUGCUUUGAGAAACAUUUGGUGAAUGUUUGUAUUAAUUUGAACACAUUAACGACACAAGU